rnacentral:rRNA from 1 species
UACGUAGGGGGCUAGCGUUGUCCGGAUUUAUUGGGCGUAAAGAGCGUGUAGGCGGCCAGGUAGGUCCGGUGUGAAAACUCGAGGCUUAACCUCGAGAUGUCAUCGGAAACCAUCUGGCUAGAGUCCGGAAGAGGAGAGUGGAAUUCCUGGUGUAGCGGUGAAAUGUGUAGAGAUCGGGAGGAACACCGGUGGCGAAGGCGGCCUUCUGGACGGUGACUGACGCUGAGGCGCGAAAGCGUGGGGAGCAAACGGG